rnacentral:rRNA from 1 species
UUGCUAGCGGCAGGCUUACACAUGCAAGUCGAGGGGUAGAUGCAGCUUGCUGCAUUGAGACCGGCGCACGGGUGCGUAACGCGUAUGCAAUCUGCCUUGUACUGGGGGAUAGCCCAGAGAAAUUUGGAUUAAUACCCCAUGGUAUUUUGGUGUGGCAUCACACUAUUAUUAAAGAUUUAUCGGUACAAGAUGAGCAUGCGUCCCAUUAGUUAGUUGGUAAGGUAACGGCUUACCAAGACGAUGAUGGGUAGGGGUCCUGAGAGGGAGAUCCCCCACACUGGUACUGAGACACGGACCAGACUCCUACGGGAGGCAGCAGUGAGGAAUAUUGGUCAAUGGGCGCAAGCCUGAACCAGCCAUGCCGCGUGCAGGAUGACUGCCCUAUGGGUUGUAAACUGCUUUUAUACGGGAAGAAACCCCUCCACGUGUGGAGGAUUGACGGUACCGUAAGAAUAAGGAUCGGCUAACUCCGUGCCAGCAGCCGCGGUAAUACGGAGGAUCCAAGCGUUAUCCGGAAUCAUUGGGUUUAAAGGGUCCGUAGGCGGGUCUGUAAGUCAGUGGUGAAAUCUCCCGGCUCAACCGGGAAACUGCCAUUGAUACUGCAGGUCUUGAAUGUUUGUGAAGUAACUAGAAUAUGUAGUGUAGCGGUGAAAUGCUUAGAUAUUACAUGGAAUACCGAUUGCGAAGGCAGGUUACUAACAAAUGAUUGACGCUGAUGGACGAAAGCGUGGGGAGCGAACAGGAUUAGAUACCCUGGUAGUCCACGCCGUAAACGAUGGAUACUAGCUGUCGGACCGUAAGGGUUCGGUGGCUAAGCGAAAGUGAUAAGUAUCCCACCUGGGGAGUACGGCCGCAAGGCUGAAACUCAAAUGAAUUGACGGAAGGCGAAUUCUGCA